rnacentral:rRNA from 1 species
AGGAUCAACGCUGGCGGCGUGCAUGAGACAUGCAAGUCGAACGGACACCACGGGGCUUGCUCUGUGGUGUUAGUGGCGGACGGCUGAGUAACGCGUAGGUGACCUGCCCCGAAGUGGGGAAUAACUGCCCGAAAGGGUGGCUAAUACCGCAUGUGGUGAUGCGUUCAUUCGCAUCAAUAAAGCCGCAAGGCGCUUCGGGAGGGGCCUGCGUCCGAUUAGCUCGUUGGUGGGGUGAUGGCCUACCAAGGCGGUGACGGGUAGCCGGGCCUGAGAGGGCGACCGGGCCACGACUGGGACUGAGACACGGCCCAGACUCCUACGGGAGGCAGCAGUGGGGAAUAUUGCGCAAUGGGCGGAAGCCUGACGCAGCGACGCCGCGUGGGGGAUGACGGCCUUCGGGUUGUAAACCGCUUUCAGUAGGGACGAAGUUCACAUGACGGUACCUACAGAAGAAGGACCGGCCAACUACGUGCCAGCAGCCGC